rnacentral:lncRNA from 1 species
GUACAAGCCAACCCAAUACAAUCCGAUUCAAGGUUUGGAUCAAUUUUUCCAUAUUUUGGAACCCUUUCAAAACAAAAACAAUAACUCAAAAAUGAGUAUUACAGUUAAUUGCAUAGAAAUACAGAUGAAGCUCCUUUAAUGAGCGAAUAAAGCUUUAAAUACACUUUACACAAUUAGAAGGAAGCUCUUUCUGAUUUUCUCAAGGUGGUUGG